rnacentral:rRNA from 1 species
GACCUGGCGGCGUGCCUAUCAUGCAAGUCGAGCGAACCACUUCGGUGGUGAGCGGCGAACGGGUGAGUAACACGUAGGUGAUCUGCCCAUCAGACGGGGACAACGAUUGGAAACGAUCGCUAAUACCGGAUAGGACGAAAGUUUAAAGGUGCUCCUGGCACCGCUGAUGGAUGAGCCUGCGGCGCAUUAGCUAGUUGGUAGGGUAAAGGCCUACCAAGGCGACGAUGCGUAGCCGACCUGAGAGGGUGAACGGCCACACUGGGACUGAGACACGGCCCAGACUCCUACGGGAGGCAGCAGUAGGGAAUCUUCGGCAAUGGGCGAAGGCCUGACCGAGCAACGCCGCGUGAAUGAUGAAGGCCUUCGGGUUGUAAAAUUCUGUUAUAAGGGAAGAACGACUUUAGUAGGAAAUGGCUAAAGUGUGUCGGUACCUUAUGAGAAAGCCACGGCUAACUACGUGCCAGCAGCCGCGGUAAU